AUGCUUUAAGUGAAGGGAAAUAUCCGUGUCGGGGUAAACUACGGCUUCCGGAUUCCUGGAUAGAGCAUCUCAUAGGAAAGUACCGUUAGAAAGAUCAACUCGUAAUUGAUUGAGUAUAAAUAACCUCUGGAGGGAGGUCGCGGGAAACUAUGAUGAAACUCCUAGAAGUGGGCGUGCCUGGCAGAAGGAGUAGGUCGAAAACUGGUUGCUGAAGCAGCGUAAGCUCCCUGAUGUAAACUCCCUGAAGUUAUCAUAGUAAUACAUCAAAGCAAUAUGAAAGUUGGCCAGUAUAAAUAAAUUCCCUGUUAACGGAAAGAGGGUUUGCAAAUCCGACGUCGUGAGACACGGACCUCAUGGGAAGAAGAAGCAACUUUAGUGUUAGAGAGAUACUGUUAAUGAGCUCUAACAUGUUCAAAUAUUUUAUUUAAG
rnacentral:ncRNA from 1 species